AAACAUCAAUGAAUUGUAAUAAUCAUUUCAAUUGCAAUGUUUAGUUUUAUCUGAAUAAUUUCAAAACUGUAUCGAUUCUUCAUUUGAUUAAAAAAUAUACAUUGUAAGUAUAUAUGCAUAUCGAAUACCAGAUCUAACUGACUACUAGUAUUUCUAGAUAAGCCGGUUCUUCCAACGAUAGCAAAUUAGAAAAUGUACUUUAAGUACACAAAUGUCCGGUUAAUAAGUCAAAAUACCCAGUUAAGUUCAGUUCUAUAGUACGCAAUACGAGGAUUCCACAUUGUCAUCGCUUUUCAUCAUGCACUUUAUGAUAUUCUAGAUAAUUUUGGUUCUAGUCUUUAUUAUAUUCUUUAAUACAGAACAUUAAUUUGAAUUGUAUUGUUUUUUUUAAACAACCUGUAAAGUGGCUUGAUAUCUAUUACCUGCACUUUAAUAAUAUAGCUUUAAUUGCAUUUAGUUUUAAAAUAGUUCCUUUUUUACGCUAAGGCAUGCGGGCUCUUUCAAAUCACUAACUUAAAGUGGUUUCCAUACCUUGUAUUAGAAUUUUAUUUAUUCCAAAGUUUGAAGGAUGGUUUAAAGUCGUGCAAGAAUAAAUCAAUUCAAACUU
rnacentral:sRNA from 1 species